rnacentral:tRNA from 1 species
GCCCAGGUAGCUCAGUUGGUAGAGCAAAGGACUGAAAAUCCUUGUGUCGGCGGUUCAAUUCCGUCCCUGGGCACCA